CUGGUUGAUCCUGCCAGUAGUGUAUGCUUCUCCUAAAGACUAAGCCAUGCAUGCCUUCGAAUAAGAGGAAGCAAUUCUCUCUGAAUCUGCGAACGGCUCCGCAAACCAGUUGUAAACUAUAGCAAGCAAUCCUGUGGUUGGGCUUCGGCUCGGCCAUGGGUAACAUGGAUAACCCUGGUAAUUCUGAGGCUAAUACAAGAACGUACAACCUGGCUAACCGGCAACGGAAGGCUGGGGAACGUGCAACGUAUCGUAGUGGAUACCGGGAAAGGGUGCACGUUUGGACCGCGCUAAAGACAGUCCUUGGUAAGCCCUUGCGGGCAAGCCUUGGCCUGAGCGGCUCUUGCGGUGUGCUUCUGACCUAUCAACUAGACGGCAGCGUAAGGGACAUGCUAUGGUUACAACGGGUACAGAGGAUAAGGGUUCGAUCCUGGAGAGUGGGCCUGAGAGAUUGCUCAUACUUCUAGGGAAGGCAGCAGGCGCGCAACGUUCCCCUUGGGCAAUGCUCGAGGGCGUUAGGGGACAUAUGAAUGCCUGCCAUAUUGGUGGGCAAUUCAAAUGGGUUUGUUCUAAACAGCCUUUCGAGUAACAAUUAGAGGACAAGUCUGGUGCCAGCACCCGCGAAGCUGAGAGGUUCCGCGGGAAAGCAGCAUCUGAUCGUGAAGGCGUAAAAGUAGCACUAAUACAAGAACGAGGUAACGGUUGGCGCUAGUUGCCGGCCGAGUAGGCAUCUGGGGGGCAAAGGACCGAGACGAAAGGGCAAAAGUAGGUAUGGGCUAAUGCCUUGACCGAACCGGCUUCAGUAGGCUUGGGCCAUAGCAACAAGCCGGUAAAAUGGCUUUGCGCUUUGGUGCAUCGAGGCUCGCGCGUGGGGUUGCUCCCACCCGCUUGCCGACGUGAUCCUGGGCCCCACACUUGAAGGGAGGCGUGCAGCUAAGUAGGGAGGGGGGCACCCCACUCGAACGGCUCGCACCAACCUCUUUGAAGGUGGCUCUGGGUGUCUAGUUGGCUAGGUAGCAACACUAUCAAAUUGCGGGAAACGCCUAAAGCCCUUGCUACCACCCGGUUGCCGAAAGGCGGCUUGGGAACCUUGUCGUAAUGGACCAAGGCACGGUAAUAACGCAACGGGAUGCUACAAUGGCCAAUCUGCAGCUAACCCCGGCAAACCAGGGGGAGUUAGUAAGGACAUGGGGGACCAUACCUGAAUCCUCCCUUUGGCAGGGACAAGUACAGAGACUAAACGGUAGUGGGUGGGGUGCAAGCCUGUAAAUGCAACUCUGGGGCCCGAGAGGGCAUCAGGGGGGCUGUGCGUGCCCUGCUUAAGAUGUAGUCCAGCCUCACCCGAAAGGGUGGUGGGAAACAUACGGUAAUUCCAGCUCUAAUAGCAUACGUUAAAGUUGUUGCGGUUAAAACGCUCGUAGUCGGCUUAAGAUCAUCAGAUGCCUGAUCCGGGAGCCUGGGACCGCUGCUCUUCGGAGCGCGCCAGGUAACUAGAGAGGGUGGGCGGUGGUCAAGUGUGCCUUGGGCUGCCUCUCCGGAGUCGCAGGGCUUAGUCAGCUUCCCUUGCGGGGGGUUGGCUUUGUCCGGCCUGGGGUACCAUUUACUAUGAUUAAACUGGAGUGAUCAAAGCAGGUCGAUCGACCUUGCACAGCACAGCAUAGCAUAAGCAAAACUGGCUUGGCCCUAUUACGGGGGCUGGGUUGGUAGAAGCGAAAGGGGUGUUCGAGGGUGACCGAAUUGCUGGGCGAGUGGUGAAAUACGUUGACCCUAGCAAGUCGACCAAAGGCGAAAGCAGUCAUCAAGGGCACACCCGUUGAUCAAGAGCGAAAGUUAAGGGUUCGAAGACGAUUUGACAAGUCUGGUYGUCUAAAGCGGGAAAGUGCAACUAUGGGAAGGAAGGCGGGGGUCGCUCCCUUGCUCUCCCUACCUGGGGGUUACGAAAGCUAGUUUCCGGGCCUUCACUGGUCUGGAGGCAACACCAUCAAAUUGCGGGGACUCCCUUAGAGCCUUCAACUACCGUACCCCUCUCGAGGGGUAGACCCUGGAUAAUGCCCAGUGGUAGGUCAUAACGUUGAGGGAUUGGGUUACCUGCAGCUAAGCUCUGAAGCCUACCUUGUUCAAAGGGCAAACUCCCGCUUGCGGGGGUGCGUCUGGACUCGAGGGCGGAGAGUGACGUUCACAGACUAAACGGUGGUGGGUGGGGGUCUCCAAAGGGAGCUACGGCUAUCUCGGAGGGUCCCUGCUUAAGACAUAGUCGCGCCCCUCCCGAAAGGGAGGUUGGCACAACCAAGGCAGAUACCGUCGUAGUCUUAACUAUAAAUGAUACUGACCAGGGAUAGGAUACUGUCCAUCUCGACUCUUCCCGAACCUUAGAGAAAUCAGAGUCUUUGAGUUCUGGGGGGAGUAUGGUCGCAAGGCUGAAACUGUAAGGGAAAAAGGCUGGGUUUCUAGAGUGGGUUGCCCUUGUCAAAGGGGGUAACCUGCUAGUCCAAUGGUUCGAACUCCAGGCUCUGCAGGCCACGGGAGGGAGAGCCAUACCGGGAGCACCCGGUUGUAAAGGGCUACACUGUCAAAUGGCUGGGACAUCCUAAAGCCUUCUCUACCAACCACGCGCCUAACAAGCGGAAAAAUCAGGCGCAUCGACCCCCUAACGGGGAUAGCGGCCUGCGUGGGGCCAGGGGUAACGACCCUGGGUACGGUGAAAACGAGGAGGAUAUGAGCGGGAGGAAUGGCUUUCGGGCUACCCCCUCGUUCGACAUGGGUUACCAGCAGCCAAGCUCGUCACCCACCCCGUACUCUAUGGGGUGGCCGAGUGCAGCUCACAGACCAAACGUCAGUGGGUCCCACACCAAGCGGGAAGCGGCGAAAGCGGCUAUCCGUGGGGGCUUAUAAUAUGGUCGGCACUUCCGGGGAAACCCCGGGGGAUCAAGCGUAAAGGAAUUGACGGAAGGGCACACAAAGAGUGGAACCUGCGGCUUUGAUAGAUUAGGCCCAUAAAGUGAACUCGGUUUGCUAGUGGGUGGGGUUAGGCUUGCCUUUCCCCGCUUGCAACACCCCCAAAUUGCUGGGAACCCCUUACAGCCCCCCCUUACCAAGCAGCAUUCCGAAAGGAGGCUGUGGCCCUGGAUAACAACCAGGGGUACGGUGAUAAUAGGGAGGGAUUGGGCAACCAGCAGCCAAGUCCCUUAUCCAAAGCCAGACCUCCGGGACUGGCUUUGCCGGGAUGCAGCUCACAGACUAAACGGUGGUGGGCGGCAGAUUGCCCUAUGUCCCUUGCCCUCGCGGGUGGGGGGUCUUGGUCAACUUGCUGCUUAAGAUAUAGUCGGAGAUACGGCAGAAACCCGUAUCAUCCUAUCGUAAUUUGACUCAACACGGGAAAACUCACCAGGUCCGGAUACACGUAUGAAAGACAAGCUGAAAGACUUUUCUCAAUGAUGUAAGUGGUGGUGCAUGGUCGUUCUUAGUUCGUGGAGUGGUUUGUCUGGUCUAUUCCGAUAACGAAGGGUGUUCGCUAGCAGCCGCCUCACAAUAUGCUUCUUAGACGUAUCAGAAUCGAAAAGGUUCUUGAAAUGGGUUAAUAACAGGUUGUUCUUAUGGACUGGCCUGCAAGAGUCGGUUCUGCUAUCCCUCGGGAAGGCAGUGGCUGGCUAGUGGGACUGAGCCGCUUCCCCCUCGGGGGUCGUGGGGAGGUACUGCGACACUUUCAAAGUGCGGGGACACCCUGUUGAAAGCACAAUCUUAGCUUUGCUCCCCCGAAAGGGGACCUGGCGGGUUGGGCCUGGGGCUAUCCGCAGCCAAACCCUAAACGAGACGCCGCAAGGCUCUCGCACGGGCGCAGUUCACAGACUAGACGGAAGUGGGGUUGUGCAUACGGCAUUCCUGAACCAAUAAAGGAGUGUCUCAGCAGCCUUAAGAGAUAGCCGAACCAUGGCUUUAAAGCCAUCGGAUUGCAGUCAUGCCCUUAGAUGUUCUGGGCCGCACGCGCGUUACAAUGGCAUGCUUUAGAAAGUGCUCAAAAGGGCGUAUCCGCGGCCUACAGGUCGCGGUAACCCCUAGUCCCUGCCUUGACUGGGACAGACUAUUGCAAUUAUUGGUCUCAAACGAGGAAUUUUUAGUAGUCGCAGGUCAUUAACCUGCGACGAAUGCGUCCCUGCCCUUGCAUAGGGGGCUUACAGGCAUGCCGUGAGGUAUACGCCUAGUCUGGGUUGGGAUCUCCGGCUUCUCUCGAGAAGCGGGAAAAACCGGCUUGGGCAACACCGACAAAUUGCGGGGACUCCCUUAAGCUGGCCCUACCAAGCCUUGCCCCGAAAGGGGUGGGGUGGCCCUGGAGAAAGACCAGGGGUACGGUAACAAUGGGCCAGAUUGGGUUAUCUGCAGCUAACCCCUUACGCUUUUCCCUUUGGGACCCCCGGGUCCUGGGGGGUGAGUUACGGGCGUAGUUCACAGGCUAGACGCCGGUGGGUGGGGUCGAGAGAGCGGGAAAACCCCGCUUUCGAAGCCCUGCUUAAGAGAUAGUCGUGGAGGGGUCUGAAAAGGCCCUGUAGUCCCAGUUGUACACACCGCCCGUCGCUGCUACCGAUUGGGUCCUGCGGUUACGAGUUCGGAGGCUGGUGGUGCUCCGCUUGCCUCACGGUAGGCGGGYGCCUCGGUGAAGUUCUAAUUACCGCAUGGCCUAGAGGAAGCAGAAGUCGUAACAAGGUAAUCGUAGGUGAAACUGCGUUUGGAUCAUUA
rnacentral:rRNA from 1 species